AGGGGAUUAGCGUAACAGAAGCGCAUCUGGCUUUGACCCAGUAGGAAGUCGUGCAACUCGACUAUCCCCUGCCA
rnacentral:tRNA from 1 species